UACGAAGGGGGCUAGCGUUGUUCGGAUUCACUGGGCGUAAAGGGUGCGCAGGCGGCCGUGUGUGUUGGGCGUGAAAGCCCGGGGCUUAACCCCGGAAUUGCACCCAAAAACUACACGGCUAGAGCAUUGGAGAGGGUAGCGGAAUUCACGGUGUAGCAGUGAAAUGCGUAGAUAUCGGGAGGAACACCAGUGGCGAAGGCGGCCUUCUGGACCAGUACUGACGCUCAUGCACGAAAGCGUGGGGAGCAAACAGG
rnacentral:rRNA from 1 species